UGCGCGCGUUUGUGAAGUUAAAUUUGAAAAUAGCCUAGUGAAACAAACAUAAAUCAGAUCAAUCCUUUAAAAAGUAUAAGUCAUUAGCAAUAAAUCCUGACGUCUACAAAUGAAACCUGACAGACCACCUGAGGGUGAUGGAUUUAUCGAUCGGAAACUUUUGAACCAAGCGUGUUUGAAACAUCAUAUUAGCAUAGGUACAGUUUGAUCCGCUAAACAGAUGCGUCCUUUGUGGAAAGAAACACAUAAACGGUGUGCUAGAUCCUGGUCGCCACAACAAACUGCAUAAUUUGCAGCUGUGUGCAUUUCUGCGGUCCUCGAUGCGCGUGAACUGACAGAGACCCUUGAAAUCAUCAGCGAAGCCCCAUAUUGUGUCACACUGAGAAGCGUCAGAAAAAAAACCUCUAUGACACAGGAGAAGUUCCUGAUUUUAACAUUUCUGAAGGGAGCUGCUGACAGAGAAAUAGAAAACACAGAUUCUUCCAUGCUGAGGGCCGUGCACAAGAGUUGGAGCGUAUCUCCUGUCGAAGAACAUCUCUAGACAUUAUGAACCAUCUGUCUAGAAAGUAAUACCUCAAAUAUACACUACCUAAAGUUUAAGGGUCAGAUUUGUCAUGUAUUAGUAUUUUUUGC